rnacentral:lncRNA from 1 species
UUUAGAUAAUAGAAACCACAGGCAAAAUAAUAACAAUAGAUAUUUAUUACAUGUCAUCUUUAUUGAUUUUUUUUCCAUGCUGGGUAUUGAACCCAGGGCUUCAUACAGGUGAGGCUCUACCACGGUGACACCUCCCUGGCUUUUAGUUGGCUAUUUUUGGAAGAGAGUUUCACUCACAGGUUACUAAAAUGGUUCUCAGGGGAUUCACAUAUGUAGAUCUUUGUCUUUCAUUUUUCUUUUCUUUUUAUCUUUAAAAUACUUGAUUUAGCAGAAUAGUUAUUGAACUAAUCAGUCAAUUAAUACUGUUAAUGAUAAUCUUACUUCUUUAUAUGAAAAAAGUUGUAGCAAGCCAGGAAGGUCAUACAGUUUGCUCCCAGACCAUAAAAAAGAUGUAAAUGCCUUUGCUUUAGCCACGGAGGGAAAACAAUGUUUGUCCGCUUAGCAGAUCCCUGGAGACUUACAAAGGGUUGUUCCUGGACUUUUCUGUUUGUCCUUAACACCGGUAAAUAAAUAUUGAGUUUUAAUUGGUUCCAGAAGAUGCAGUAGCAGUGGAGGGGGAGAGGGCAGAGGACAUUUCACAGUGAGGAGAAGGAUGAGGUGUGGGAAGAGUGAUAAGCAUAGGGCAGAGCAGAGCCUUAGUGGAAGAAGGGAGAUGCUGCAGCCUCCGAAGACUGCAUUCAGUGGGGAUGCAGGCACUCAGACACCCUAGACAGCCAACACUCUCAGGUCCUGGCUGAGUUUUGGGAUGUAUUUGCUACAGCUUAGGGGCAGAAAUUAAGGUUAGUAAAGUUGGGUCGUGAGUCACCUGGCAUGUAGACCUUAGCAGGUAAGAAUGGUGCAGCUGAACUGGAGGCACCCAGGAAAGACCUUGGCAUCUUUGAUACGAGCCAUGUGCAAGGGCCAGUGGAGAGUCUGCCUGUGUCAGUGCUGCACCUUUUGAUAAUUUGGUCCAAUUCAAAUCAGCGUCUUCUUUCCCCUCUGUAUGAUGUAAUUUUGAUUCUUGGAAGUAUUCCAGGAGAUAAUUAGGAAAAAUUAAUGCACAUUGAAAACUGCACAAUCUUUAAUCUUAAUUUUCAUCGAAAUGGAAACUCAACGUCAAAUUACAAACAGACUUAUUAAACAGCCACCGUUCUUCUCACUUCUGGAAGUUUGUCUAUUUGUAAUUGCUAAUUUUUAUUCAUUUCCUCAAAAGUGUGUGUCUAAUACUUUCCUAAAAUACUGAUGUACUGGAAACUCAAAUAAAUUGCCGUAUGUGUA